UACGUAGGGUCGACACGUUGUCCGGAAUUAUUGGGCGUAAAGAGCUCGUAGGCGGUCUGUCGCGUCUGCUGUGAAAACUCAGGGCUUAACCCUGAGCUUGCAGUGGGUACGGGCAGACUAGAGUGCGGUAGGGGAGACUGGAAUUCCUGGUGUAGCGGUGAAAUGCGCAGAUAUCAGGAGGAACACCGGUGGCGAAGGCGGGUCUCUGGGCCGUAACUGACGCUGGAGGAGCGAAAGCAUGGGGAGCGAACAGG
rnacentral:rRNA from 1 species